rnacentral:rRNA from 1 species
AACGAACGCUGGCGGCAUGCCUAACACAUGCAAGUCGAACGAGACCUUCGGGUCUAGUGGCGCACGGGUGCGUAACGCGUGGGAACCUGCCCUUAGGUUCGGAAUAACUCCCCGAAAGGGGUGCUAAUACCGGAUAAUGUCUUCGGACCAAAGAUUUAUCGCCUUUGGAUGGGCCCGCGUUGGAUUAGCCAGUUGGUAGGGUAAAAGCCUACCAAGGCGACGAUCCAUAGCUGGUCUGAGAGGAUGAUCAGCCACACUGGGACUGAGACACGGCCCAGACUCCUACGGGAGGCAGCAGUGGGGAAUAUUGGACAAUGGGCGAAAGCCUGAUACAGCAAUGCCGCGUGAGUGAUGAAGGCCUUAGGGUUGUAAAGCUCUUUUACCCGGGAUGAUAAUGACAGUACCGGGAGAAUAAGCACCGGCUAACUCCGUG